rnacentral:rRNA from 1 species
UACGGAGGGUGCAAACGUUGCUCGGAAUCAUUGGGCGUAAAGCGCACGUAGGCGGCACGUUAAGUCGGGUGUGAAAGCCCUGGGCUCAACCCAGGAAGUGCAUUCGAAACUGGCGCGCUUGAAUAUGGAAGAGGGUCGCGGAAUUCCCGGUGUAGAGGUGAAAUUCGUAGAUAUCGGGAGGAACACCCGUAGCGAAGGCGGCCGACUGGACCACACCUGACGCUGAGGCGCGAAGGCCAGGGGAGCGAACGGG